rnacentral:rRNA from 1 species
GGGGAAAAGUAGACCUCUGUUUUACAAGUUUACGUUUGAGGAUGAGUCCGCGGCCCAUCAGCUAGUUGGCGGGGUAAUGGGCCCCACCAAGGCUACGACGGGUAGCUGGUCUGAGAGGACGAUCAGCCACACUGGAACUGAGACACGGUCCAGACUCCUACGGGAGGCAGCAGUGGGGAAUUUUCCACAAUGGGCGAAAGCCUGAUGGAGCAACGCCGCGUGUGUGAUGAAGGUCUUCGGAUCGUAAAGCACUUUCGACCGGGACGAAAAACCUACUGGCUAACAUCCAGGGGCCUGACGGUACCGGGAGAAGAAGCACCGGCUAACUCUGUGCCAGCAGCCGCGGUAAUACAGAGGGUGCAAGCGUUGUUCGGAAUUAUUGGGCGUAAAGCGCGUGUAGCGGCUUGGCAAGUCAGAUGUGAAAGCCCAUGGCUUAACCAUGGAAGUGGCGUCUGAAACUGCUGAGCUUGAGUGCCGGAGAGGAUGGCGGAAUUCCGCAAGUAGAGGUGAAA